AGAGAGAUUCCGUCACCACCAAAAGAGUUAAACACAGGGACACAUAUGAAGUCUCGGAGCCGGGUGUUGGUUCCGGUAGCGAUCGAGGGAAGUUAGUACCGAAGUCCGGGAUGGAAGAUGGCGAGAAAAGCUGUGUGGAUUUCUGCGGUGCCCGUACCGCAAACCGACACAGGUAGGUAGGAAGAAGAUUCUAAGGCCAACGGGAGAAGGGUUGUUAAGGAACUCGGCAAAUCGACCCCGUAACUUCGGGAGAAGGGGUGCUGCAGCAAUGCAGCCGCAGAGAAUCGGCCCAAGCAACUGUUUACCAAAAACACAGGUUUGUGCUAAAUCGAAAGAUGACGUAUACGAGCUGACGCCUGCCCGGUGCUGGAAGGUUAAGAGGAGAUGUGCAAGCAUUGAAUCGAAGCCCCAGUGAACGGCGGCCGUAACCAUAACGGUCCUAAGGUAGCGAAAUUCCUUGUCAGGUAAGUUCUGACCCGCAUGAAAGGCGUAAUGAUUUGGGCACUGUCUCAACAGCCCGCCCGGCGAAAUUGUAGUACCGGUGAAGAUGCCGGUUACCCGCGACAAGACGGGAAGACCCCAUGGAGCUUUACUGUAGCCUAAUAUUGGGUUUCGAUGUUGCAUGCACAGGAUAGAUGGGACACUGGGAAGUAGGUGCUUUGGCGCUUGUGGAGUGGCCGUUGGGAUACCAUCCUUGCGAUAUUGGAAUUCUAACCUGCGCCUUUGAAUCAAGGCGGGGGACAUUGUUAGGUGGGCAGUUUGACUGGGGCGGUCGCCUCCUAAAGAGUAACGGAGGCGUUCAAAGGUUCGCUCAGCUUGAACGGAAAUCAAGCAAAAGAGUGCAAACGCAGAAGCGAGCCUAACUGCGAGACUGACGGGUCGAGCAAUAACGAAAGUUGGAGUUAGUGAUCCGGUGGUAUGUGAGUGGAAAUGCCAUCGCUCAACGGAUAAAAGUUACCCUGGGGAUAACAGGCUGAUCUCCCCCAAGAGUCCACAUCGACGGGGAGGUUUGGCACCUCGAUGUCGGCUCAUCGCAUCCUGGGGCUGUAUUCGGUCCCAAGGGUUUGGCUGUUCGCCAAUUAAAGCGGUACGCGAGCUGGAUUCAGAACGUCGUGAGACAGUUCGGUCCCUAUCUGUCGUGGGCGCAGGAUAUUUGAUGGGAGCUGUUCCUAGUACGAGAGGACCGGAGCGGACGUACCUCUGGCGCACCAGUUGUUCUGCCAAGAGCAUAGCUGGGCAACUAUGUACGGAUCGGAUAAACGCUGAAAGCAUCUAAGCGUGAAGCCGACCCAAAGAUAAGAUAUCCCAUUGUUUCAAACAAGUAAGACCCCUUGAAGACUACAAGGUUGAUAGGCACGAUGUGUAAGUGGAGUGAUCCAUUCAGCAAGUGUGUACUAAUAGGUCGAGGGCUUGAUC
rnacentral:rRNA from 1 species